CGUCGAAGGAGCAGUACGACUCGUGGACUCCUACGGGAGGCAGCAGUGGGACUUUUCGCUCAGAACGAAAAAAGGCGGCAGGCUUAACACAUGCAAGUCGAGCGGGCGUAGCAAUACGUCAGCGGCAGACGGGUGAGUAACGCGUGGGAACGUACCUUUUGGUUCGGAACAACACAGGGAAACUUGUGCUAAUACCGGAUAAGCCCUUACGGGGAAAGAUUUAUCGCCGAAAGAUCGGCCCGCGUCUGAUUAGCUAGUUGGUGAGGUAAUGGCUCACCAAGGCGACGAUCAGUAGCUGGUCUGAGAGGAUGAUCAGCCACAUUGGGACUGAGACACGGCCCAAACUC
rnacentral:sRNA from 1 species